rnacentral:rRNA from 1 species
CCUACGGGAGGCUGCAGUGGGGAAUAUUGGGCAAUGGGCGCAAGCCUGACCUAGCAACGCCGCGUGAAGGAAGAAGGCCCUCGGGUUGUAAACUUCUUUUAUUCGGGACGAAACAAAUGACGGUACCGAAUGAAUAAGCCACGGCUAAAUACGGGCCCGCAGCCGCGGGAAUGAGGUGGGGGCAAGCGUUAUCCGGAUUUACUGGGUGUAAAGGGCGUGUAGGCGGGAGAGCAAGUCAGAAGUGAAAUGCCAGGGCUCAACCCUGGAACAGCGUUUGAAACUGUUCUUCUUGAGUGGAGGAGAGGCAGGCGGAAUUCCGUGGGUAGCGGUGAAAUGCGUAGAUAUACGGAGGAACACCAGUGGCGAAGGCGGCCUGCUGGACAUUAACUGACGCUGAGGCGCGAAAGCGUGGGGAGCAAACAGGAUUAGAUACCCGAGUAGUC